GACGAACGCUGGCGGCGUGCUUAACACAUGCAAGUCGAACGGAAAGGCCCUGCUUUUGUGGGGUGCUCGAGUGGCGAACGGGUGCGUAACACGUGAGUAACCUGCCCUUGACUUUGGGAUAACUUCAGGAAACUGGGGCUAAUACCGGAUAGGAGCUCCUGCUGCAUGGUGGGGGUUGGAAAGUUUCGGCGGUUGGGGAUGGACUCGCGGCUUAUCAGCUUGUUGGUGGGGGAGUGGCUUACCAAGGCUUUGACGGGUAGCCGGCCUGAGAGGGUGACCGGCCACAUUGGGACUGAGAUACGGCCCAGACGCCUACGGGAGGCAGCAGUGGGGAAUAUUGCACAAUGGGCGGAAGCCUGAUGCAGCAACGCCGCGUGCGGGAUGACGGCCUUCGGGUUGUAAACCGCUUUCGCCUGUGACGAAGCGUGAGUGACGGUAAUGGGUAAAGAAGCACCGGCUAACUACGUG
rnacentral:rRNA from 1 species